AUUGAACGCUGGCGGCAGGCUUAACACAUGCAAGUCGAGCGGAGAUGAGGUGCUUGCACCUUAUCUUAGCGGCGGACGGGUGAGUAAUGCUUAGGAAUCUGCCUAUUAGUGGGGGACAACAUUCCGAAAGGAAUGCUAAUACCGCAUACGUCCUACGGGAGAAAGCAGGGGAUCUUCGGACCUUGCGCUAAUAGAUGAGCCUAAGUCGGAUUAGCUAGUUGGUGGGGUAAAGGCCUACCAAGGCGACGAUCUGUAGCGGGUCUGAGAGGAUGAUCCGCCACACUGGGACUGAGACACGGCCCAGACUCCUACGGGAGGCAGCAGUGGGGAAUAUUGGACAAUGGGGGAAACCCUGAUCCAGCCAUGCCGCGUGUGUGAAGAAGGCCUUAUGGUUGUAAAGCACUUUAAGCGAGGAGGAGGCUACUGAGACUAAUACUCUUGGAUAGUGGACGUUACUCGCAGAAUAGGCACCGGCUAACUCUGUGCCAGCAGCCGCGGUAA
rnacentral:rRNA from 1 species